rnacentral:rRNA from 1 species
UACGUAGGGUGCAAGCGUUAAUCGGAAUUACUGGGCGUAAAGCGUGCGCAGGCGGUUUUGUAAGUCUGUCGUGAAAGCCCCGGGCUUAACCUGGGAAUUGCGAUGGAGACUGCAAGGCUUGAAUCUGGCAGAGGGGGGUAGAAUUCCACGUGUAGCAGGUGAAAUGCGUAGAGAUGUGGAGGAACACCGGAUGGCGAAGGCAGCCCCCCUGGGUCAAGAUUGACGCUCAUGCACGAAAGCGUGGGGAGCAAACAGG